rnacentral:misc_RNA from 1 species
UGCUUCGCGUGUACGCCACACACGCGCCCUGUCCGCGAAACAGUCGCACAAGAUUCGCUCGUAGCAGAAGGGUCACGACGCCGCCGCUCUCUUGGGCGUCUCUCUGUUUGACUGUCAUGGAGUUCCUCGGCCGGGAGGCGGCGGGGGUGGUCUCCAUUGCGUGUAGUUCGGCUUCCACCACAUCAUUUGCCACCCUCUCAAGCCACGGGACCCUGUCUCUCUGGGACGUGCGCAUUCCACGCAGGAACUACAUGAAAUUUCGCAAUCCAAACAGCGCCGCCACCGCAGCGGCUUCUGAGCUGCGCUACCUGCACGACCGGCACGCUGCUGUCGCACUGUGCGGCAAGACUGUCCAACUGUUUGACACGCGCAAGUGCAUUUCGUGCGUGUCUGAGUUUACUAGCGACAAGGAGUGCGUCGCCUUCUUGAGAGACGAGCCACCGCCGGACUCUACUACGACGCUGAUUGUGGACGAGGAUGGCGGCAUGUUUGCAUACGACAUUGCAGACGGCACCCGGCCUCCCUACAUCGAGGCGUACGUCUUUGGUCAGCAGGAGCGCUGCCCCUUGCCAAAAGGCAGCCGAUUCGGAUGUCUAACAAACUAUUGUAGCGGGUUGCACUGUGUCGAUCUUGCCCCUGGCGAAGACGGCACCGCUACACGGCUGCUCUUUGCUGUUGGAAUGGACGGCGAAGGUGCCCUCUACAGCGGGGCCGACGACACGGGUUCCGUGCGCGUUGCGUUCUCCAUUGCGCAUGAGUCGUCGAGCUGCGGCAACGCGCCAAUGGUGAACCCGCCGCUCGUCAACUGCACCGCCAUCUGUGGUGCGCAAGUGGCCGUGGGGCGGGCCGACGGCAUGUACUCUGUCUACGAGAUUGAGCGGAGCGGGCUGGACGAGGCCAUGGUGUCUCCCGGCCACGCCGUCAACGGGCUGUGCUACGUGGACUGGGUGUCGCCGGAGCUGCUGCUGACAGUGUCGCUUUGCGGGGAGGUCACGGGAUGGGCCGUCGGUGCAUUCAUGGCGGGCAGCAGCGCGGAGGCGGAAGAGGAGGCGGAGGGGCCGGAGGUGGUGGCAGCUCUUGCGCAUCGAGAGGUGCCCGGCUGCCAGCUAGCGACGGUGAACUGCGCUGACCGGCUUGCUGGAACGCGCUACAUCUUCGGUGAUCAUCUAGGCGGCGUGACGCUGGCUCAGCUGGAUCUCUGAGCGGAUGCGGCAACCUCUGCAGCCUAUCUCUGUGUCUGUUGCGGGAACUAGUUGGGGGAAGGGGAGGGGAGGGGCUGCGUGUCUGGCGCACCUAGGCAGGUCGGGGCAUGGUGUCUGCAGAGAUACCGCCAGGGUGCGCCGGGGAGACAAGCUGCGCGUCAUUGACACGUUUUUGUAGUCGUGUCGCCGCGCAGUGUGCUUCUCCUUCGCUUCCUUUCCCGCUCCCCACGUGCCGAUCUCACGCAGUGGAUCGCUGUGCCGCAAAUACGCGAGCGCGCGUUUCUGCUGUCUCUCUUGCCGCCUUCCCCCGAUGACAGGCGGAUGGACACAACCCUUCGUGUGUGGCAUCUCAGGGUCCAGUACAUCCCCGCACCGUGCGGUAGGAUGACUAGCAGCCCCGCUAACCCUUGCCAAAUGCCGGCCCACCUCUGGUGGUGGCAAGGGUUAAGCGCGUACGACAGAAGGGAGUCCGGGGCGAUGCAUCGCUGCCGAUGCCCGCGGCCAGGUCCUGGAUGGCACGUCGCCGAAGAGACCUGCGUUCAGCGAACGCGCCUGCGCUAUCCAUGUGGCUGGGCAGGGCGUCGGCGUGACUCGAGCGCACGUCUCACCCCCUGGUUCACACCGUUCGCUGGUGUGGGGGCCUGCGGGGCGGGGGUGGGCAGGUGGCGUUUGAGGCAGGGACCGUGCUCGGCUGCCUGCAUCGGCAGCAUAGCUGCAACGCGCGUGUCUCCGGCUUCUCCGCAUCACGCGAUGUGGGGCCUGUGACAGGCCGGGUAGAGUGUCAUGUGAACUUGUGUUCUAUGGCGGAGUGAAUGCGUUAAGGAAAAAUUCUUGUCGCCGCGCCGCGGCAGCAUUGGCGGCCUCCAGUGUCGAUGUCCUCGGCAUUGGCGCGUGCGCGCGCUUCUCCCCAUCUGCCAUGCUCUGCCACCGUCAUCUCCUCCUUUCCUUUUGUUCAUUUGUGUGAUUCCGGUC